AGGUUUGAUUAUGGCUCAGGAUGAACGCUGGCGGCGUGCUUAACACAUGCAAGUCGAGCGGAGUUAUUUAGAAGCUUGCUUUUAAAUAACUUAGCGGCGGACGGGUGAGUAACGUGUGGGUAACCUGCCUUAUACUGUGGAAUAAUCACUGGAAACGGUGACUAAUACCGCAUGUCAUCUUUUUACUGCAUGGUAGAAAGAGAAAAGGAUUUAUUCGGUAUAAGAUGGACCCGCAUCUGAUUAGCUAGUUGGUGAGAUAAAAGCUCACCAAGGCGACGAUCAGUAGCCGACCUGAGAGGGUGAUCGGCCACAUUGGGACUGAGACACGGCCCAAACUCCUACGGGAGGCAGCAGUGGGGAAUAUUGCACAAUGGGCGAAAGCCUGAUGCAGCAACGCCGCGUGAAGGAUGAAGGGUUUCGGCUCGUAAACUUCUAUCAAUAGGGAAGAAAGAAAUGACGGUACCUAAAUAAGAAGCCCCGGCUAACUACGUGCCAGCAGCCGCGGUAAUACGUAGGGGGCAAGCGUUAUCCGGAAUUACUGGGUGUAAAGGGAGAGUAGGCGGCAUGGUAAGUUAGAUGUGAAAGCCCGGAGCUUAACUUCGGGAUUGCAUUUAAAACUAUUAAGCUAGAGUACAGGAGAGGAAAGUGGAAUUCCUAGUGUAGCGGUGAAAUGCGUAGAUAUUAGGAAGAACACCAGUGGCGAAGGCGACUUUCUGGACUGAAACUGACGCUGAGGCUCGAAAGCGUGGGGAGCGAACAGGAUUAGAUACCCUGGUAGUCCACGCCGUAAACGAUGAGUGCUAGUGUCGGAGGGGAACCUUCGGUGCCGCAGCUAACGCAAUAAGCACUCCACCUGGGGAGUACGAUCGCAGAUUGAAACUCAAAGGAAUUGACGGGGGCCCGCACAAGCGGUGGAGCAUGUGGUUUAAUUCGAAGCAACGCGAAGAACCUUACCAAGGCUUGA
rnacentral:rRNA from 1 species